CCUACGGGAGGCAGCAGUGGGGGAUAUUGCACAAUGGGGGAAACCCUGAUGCAGCGACGCCGCGUGGGCGAAGAAGUAUUUCGGUAUGUAAAGCCCUAUCAGCAGGGAAGAAGAAAUGACGGUACCUGAGUAAGAAGCACCGGCUAAAUACGUGCCAGCAGCCGCGGUAAUACGUAUGGUGCAAGCGUUAUCCGGAUUUACUGGGUGUAAAGGGAGCGCAGGCGGCAGGGCAAGCAUGAUGUGAAAGCCAGCGGCCCAACCGCGGGACUGCCUUGGGAACUGCCUGGCUUGAGGGCCGGGAAGGGAGGCGGAAUUCCUGGUGUAGCGGUGAAAUGCGUAGAGAUUAGGAAGAACACCAGUGGCGAAGGCGGCCUACUGGACGGUGACUGACGCUGAGGCUCGAAGGCGUGGGGAGCGAACAGGAUUAGAUACCCGAGUAGUC
rnacentral:rRNA from 1 species